GACGAACGCUGGCGGCGUGCUUAACACAUGCAAGUCGAACGGAAAGGCCCUGCUUUUGUGGGGUGCUCGAGUGGUGAACGGGUGAGUAACACGUGAGUAACUUGCCCUUGACUAUGGUAUAACUUCAGGAAACUGGGGCUAAUACCGGAUAUGAUCUCCCGCUGCAUGGUGGGGGUUGGAAAUUUUAGGCGGUUGGGGACUGACUCGCGGCGUAUCAGCUUGUUGGGGGGGUAGUGGCUUACCAAGGCUUUGACGGGUCGCGGGCCUGAGAGGGGGGCCGGCCACAUUGGGACUGAGAUACGGCACAGACUAAUACGGGAGGGAGCAGUGGGGAAGAGUGCACAAUGGGCGGAAGCCUGAUGCAGCAACGCCGCGUGCGGGAUGACGGCCUUCGGGUUGUAAAGCGAAGUCGCCUGUGACGAAGCGUGAGUGACGGUAAUGGGUAAAGAAGCACCGGCUAACUACGUG
rnacentral:rRNA from 1 species